rnacentral:rRNA from 1 species
CAAUAAGCGGAGGAAAAGAAACUAACAAGGAUUCCCCUUMGUAACUGCGAAGUGAAGCGGGAAAAGCUCAAAUUUAAAAUCUGGCGGUCUCCGGCCGUCCGAGUUGUAGUCUGGAGAAGCGUUUUCCGCGUUGGACCGUGUACAAGUUUCCUGGAACGGAGCGUCAUAGAGGGUGAGAAUCCCGUCUUUGACACGGACCCCAAUGCUUUGUGAUGCGCUCUCAAAGAGUCGAGUUGUUUGGGAAUGCAGCUCAAAAUGGGUGGUGAAUUCCAUCUAAAGCUAAAUAUUGGCGAGAGACCGAUAGCGAACAAGUACCGUGAGGGAAAGAUGAAAAGCACUUUGGAAAGAGAGUUAAACAGUACGUGAAAUUGUUGAAAGGGAAACGCUUGAAGUCAGUCGCGUCGGCCGGGACUCAGCCUUGCAUUCGCUUGGUGUACUUUCCGGUCGACGGGCCAGCAUCAGUUUUGACCGCGAGACAAAGGCGGAGGGAAUGUGGCUCUUUCGGGAGUGUUAUAGCCCUUCGUCGCAUGUCGCGGUUGGGACUGAGGACCGCAGCACGCCUUUAUGGCCGGGGUUCGCCCACGUACGUGCUUAGGAUGCUGGCGUAAUGGCUUUAAACGACCCGUCUUGAAACACGGACCAAGGAGUCUAACAUGCCUGCGAGUGUUCGGGUGGAAAACCCGUGCGCGUAAUGAAAGUGAAAGUUGGGAUCCCUGUCGUGGGGUGCACCGACGCCCGGACCAGACCUUUUGUGACGGAUCUGCGGUAGAGCAUGUAUGUUGGGACCCGAAAGAUGGUGAACUAUGCCUGAAUAGGGUGAAGCCAGAGGAAACUCUGGUGGAGGCUCGUAGCGAUUUCUGACGUGCAAAUCGAUCGUCAAAUUUGGGUAAUAGGGGCGAAAGACUAAUCGAACCAUCUAGUAGCUGGUUCUGC